UAUCAUAACGUGAGCGAAAUCUAUUGUGAAAGCAAAUAACGGAAAGCAUAGAUCCAGUUAGAAAAUAGUUCGACAAAGUACAAAUGAUAUUUUCGUUUGCCGCAACUAAAAAUUUGCUGCAAAUCUUUUUUCCCAAAGCCAAAUAAAAUUUACGGUCCCCUAGGAAAAGCGUUUCCUCGUUGUGAAGGAAGGCUUUCGACCGCGGUACCGUUAAUUUUUUCGGCCUCUUUUACCAAGCGUUGUUUUUGUGUAAAUUUUUACCGUUUUCAUGUACCGUACCGAAAUAUUAUUUUUUUUACAUGAACGUCAGCGAGUAAAAAUAGCAAAGUACAUUUUACGAGCGCUGGCUUACUCUGCCGCGCAGCGAGAUUCUUUAUGAAUUUAACGAAGUUGCUUUCCCGGGACCGUUUACCGUAUGGCAACCCGUUUUCUCGGUUUUAACUUUAAGGGUUAAGGGUUAUAUUGCAACGGUCCAAUCGAUAUCGACGAACUCGCACAAUUUUUAUUGCCCCUUUCCGUUUCUUUUUUUUUUUUUUUGCUUUCUUCGAUGAGUCAAAAGAAACAACUUUAUAUUAUAUAGGCUCUGUAUUAUAGAGAAAGGCAUGAAAUCCAUGUUUAUCUCGUGCACACUCCUUUCUAAAAAUGAGGAUAAUGUGCGUGAAAAUUAGGACAAGAAAUCUGUAACCCUUUCGAUUUAUAUUUCAGAGAAAGUACUCGCUUCAGAAAGGUGUCACUUUUUAUAUUAUAUGGGUCAAUCUACAUAUAACAAAAAAAACUUUUACUGUUUCUUGCCUUUUAUUUAACUUUACGCAAAAACAUCACUGACAGAAGGAUCAACAAAAAUAGACUAUUAAAAAAAAUUUUUUUUUUUUCUUUUAUUCACCUAUAUAUGUAAAUCUUCAAUCAGAGAGUCAAAAAUAAGAAUAAAUUUUAAAAUGCAUAAAAUUGAUAAAUGUAUUAAUUAUCAAUUUUACAAAAUUUCUUUAUUUGAACAAAAAACAAGAUAAUAAUCAAAUAUAUGUAAAAAAUAGUUUACGAAAAUAAAUAAUAGAAAAAUUUCUUCCGCGGCAGAUAACAAAAAGGUUGAUUGAACUGUUAUAUUAAUUUUAUUAUUUUAAUAUUAAUUUUUCCUUAAAGCCCUUUUUACAUAAAAUAAAUUCUGCAAAAAACACAAAGCAACCCAGAUACAAUUAAUAUCAUAAAAAAAUUAACUGCUAACUUUUUAAUGUUUUUAAAAGUUAACAGUGAUCACGAGGUCAAAAAACGGUAUACCAGAAGUGGAGAUCCCGUUUCGUGCAAUUCUCGACCGGGACUCUCGUCUUCGACUAUUUUUCACACAACUGUGUCAUAUAUUUUUAUAGAAUGUACCAUUUUUUUGUCUCUAUUUUAGCUACACAACCAGGCUUUUUACGUGUUUAUGCCUUUGGACAUGCCACGUCAAUUUUUAGAGGAAACACUAUAACUUUUUUUAGGUCUAUUCUUACUGAAUCGAGACAUUUUUUUAUCGUCGUACAGUAAAGAAAUAAACUUCCAAACCAAUGCAGGGCAUUUUUUUAGGGAUCGAGGUCACCAACUGUAACAUUGCUACCAAUAAAAAAGUCAACUCAAUACGUUCCACAGAAAUUUACAAUUAGGUAAUUUAUGAUCAAAUAAUUUUUGUCUCCUUUCAGACGGAGAAUGUGAAUGUUAAGAAAGUUUUCUAAGAAUUGAGUUACUCCUUUCCAAAGAAUAAAAGAGAAAAAGUUUUUAAAAAAGACCACACGUAGAAGAAAUAAAGAUAGAGAUCUAAUUUGAAAGUGUGUUACAAUUCUCACAUGUAGGUCUCUCUCCGAAUAAAUCAUUUCCUACCAAUCUGAAGGGUACAACAGCCGAAGAGCCAACCCCGAUUUUAAAUCGAGAAAUAAUCUCCCCUAAUGCGCAUUUUAAGAUUCACGGCGUGAUGCAUGUUGCAUUGCGCUGCGGCAGCUGUCUGUAUAGCCGACGUUAACCUCUUCGAGGCCAGCGCACUGCCGACCAAAGUCAAACAUGCCGUAUCAGCCCUAAAUGCUCCCAUUUAAAGCGGAGAUAUCGUACGUGCGAGCCAACGAUGCGUUCCAACGUGAAUCGGAGAUACAAGUACAACAUACGGUCAUGUGGAGUGCAUAAAUGCAUGUUGCGCUUGCCGUUACAAACGAGAAUAAUUUCAAGAGCGAUGAUCUGGAAACGAGGUCACGCAGAAACGAUAUGCUGAAAUUUCGAACUAUCAUGGAUUGUGUGACAACAUCGUUAUGAUAUCGAUCGAAUAAAAAGACAGUUAAUUCGAUUAAUUUCUACACAAUGCGUGACGAAAUAUAUGAUACACAAUAAUACAUCUUAACUUAAUUCUGAAACAUACGUGACGUGAUAGUGUCCUGAAAAUUAUUUAGUAUCGGUACUUGCUUAUCACUUGUAGAAACUCGUUGCUUUAAUAAAGAAAAAUGCACGUGUUACAUG